GGUCUAAGUCAGCAUUUCACUGUUGGUCUACACCUGUUGUUAACAAGGCAUGUGAUGAUGUUUUGUCCCAGAAAACCCUGAAUAUCCAGGAUGUUGGGAUGAUGCCAAUGGGAGCCAUGACUGCAGCAGCAACACCUGCAGCUCUGGCAGUGGAAGAGGACGCGGCACCAGUCAAGAAAGAGAAGACACACUUCACAGUAAAACUGACAGAACUGAAGGCAGCAGAGAAAG